rnacentral:rRNA from 1 species
AUAAUACAUCGGGAACGUGCCCUGUAGUGGGGGAUAACUAGUCGAAAGACUAGCUAAUACCGCAUACGACCUGAGGGUGGAAAGUGGGGGACCGCAAGGCCUCAUGCUAUAGGAGCGGCCGAUGUCUGAUUAGCUAGUUGGUGGGGUAAAGGCCCACCAAGGCGACGAUCAGUAGCUGGUCUGAGAGGACGAUCAGCCACACUGGGACUGAGACACGGCCCAG